UACGUAGGGGGGCUAGCGUUUGUCCGGAAUCAUUGGGCGUAAAGAGCGCGUAGGCGGCUAGAUAAGUCCGGUGUGAAAGUCACAGGCUCAACCUGUGAAUGCCGCUGGAAACUGUCUGGCUAGAGUCCGGAAGGGGCGAGUGGAAUUCCUGGUGUAGCGGUGAAAUGCGCAGAUAUCAGGAGGAACACCAAUGGCGAAGGCAGCUCGCUGGGACGGUACUGACGCUGAGACGCGAAAGCGUGGGGAGCGAACAGG
rnacentral:rRNA from 1 species